AUGAUUUUCUCACUUCAUGGGUUGUUCAAGAUGUACCAAAAAUACCCAAUGCAGAGUGUUACUGUUUACACACUGUUUCUGCUUUUCUUGUGUUUUCUUAUAUCUGGGAUGCUGCUAGACCACCUGUACCUCCUGAAGCUGAAGCUGUACUUAAACAACUUCCGUCUCUCGAUGGUUGUAAUUCUCCUGAACUCGAAGAAUUUGCUAAGAAGCAAAUAGCUGCAAGAGUUCCUGGCGUUGGAAAUAUUUUCAGUACAUCUCGAGUUAUCGAAGGAUUGUAUAUUGAUCUAAUGGAUAGAAUGAUGGGAGCUUCAGGUUUUAAGCAUUGGGCUCUUGGUCCAUUCAAUCCUGUAAAUCUGGAAUUUGAGAAAAAGGAAAACCGCCAUUAUUCACUUGAGUGGCUUGAUAAACAACCAGCUAGCUCGGUGAUUUUCGUUUCCUUUGGAUCAACGACUUCGUUAUCCGAAGAUGAAAUCAGAGAGCUAGCUAUUGGGCUGGAAGCAAGUCAACAGAGAUUUAUCUGGGUUCUGAGGGACGCAGAUAAAGGAGAUAUAUUCUCCGGUGAAGUUCGAAAAUGUCAAUUGCCUGAAGGAUAUGAGAAGAGGGUAUCGGAAAGAGGACUUGUAAUGAGAGAUUGGGCACCACAAUUGGAAAUUUUAGGUCACCCGUCUACGGGUGGAUUCAUGAGUCAUUGCGGGUGGAAUUCUUGUAUGGAGAGUAUUACAAUGGGAGUUCCAAUCGCGGCAUGGCCAAUGCAUUCUGAUCAGCCUAGAAAUGCGUUGUUCAUAACUGAAGGACUGAAAACGGGGAUAUGGGUGAGAAAAUGGGAGCAACGAAACGAAGUGAUCCCAGCAGAGACUGUUGAGAAAGUUGUACGAACGUUAAUCGCCUCUCCGGAGGGAGCGGAGAUGAAACGAAAUGCUACAGCGAUCAAGGAAGCAGUGAAAUUAUCGGUAAUGGAGGGUGGGGUAACGCAGCAGGAAAUGAAAUCUUUUGUUGCCCACAUUACUAGAUAGAUUUUUUUUCCCGUUUAAUAUUGGUGAUGUUCGUGCUAGUUUAUGCGCACUUUAACCUUUGAUCCUGUGUCGAAAUAAAUAUUUUGAAUAACUCUAUCAAUCUAUCGAGUAUGCUUGCCCUUUUUAAACUCGAGUGAUUGCUUAAUGUCGUGGAUGCAAUCUUUUUUUUAUUAUAUCGAUUUCAAAUUAAUGAUAAAAUUGUCUCUAUCUAGCUUAUAAGCGAAAGGUAGUCAUUAAUGUUGAUUAUCAAUAUAGGCUACUUACACUACACCCUCUUGAAAUGUGGUACUUUCUUGAAUUUGCAUGAACAUGAAAUGCAUCAUACACUAAUAAGGCUUUUGAGAAAUGAUAUAAUAGUAAGAAUAGAGAUUAGAAAUAUAUCAAUCAAAACAUAUGGGAAGAAGUGAGCAAGGAGGAUAUUUUACGACUUCUUUUUUGCCAUUACCUUCACAAAGGGUUCAUCCGAAUCUCUUUCGGCGAAAAAUUAUAUUAUUUCAGCAUGAUUAAAAUAAGUUUAUAUGAAUAUACAAUAGAUACUGAAUCCAUUUCGGCUAUUUAUUUUUACAGAUUUUGAACCCCCUUAUUAAAAUUCUAAUUCAACCUCUGCAUUGAUUCAUUAAUCAAUUUUGCUAAAAAUUCACGAGUUAAUAAACAUAUAUAUAUAUAUAUAUAUUUAUUUAAUAUUCUAAUACAAAUAUAAUCUAUAAAAAACUACUAAUGUUUGACACGAAUUCUCACUUAGCUCCGCUUUGGGUGGGGCAUGGGGUGUGGGGAGAUGGAGGGGCUGGGAUUUGGUGGGGGGCUAUAUACGUGAGAGUAAAAAUAUCUAAUUUUGAAGGCAUGAAACACAUUUCUAAAUUAAAAAAUAAAACAAAAAAGGUUUGUCCGCCUCCCAACCCCCCACUUUAAAACAUUAGUUAAAAUAUUUUAGAUAAAAUUGUCUCAUUUUCAGAAAAAUAAAUAAAUCAUGUUUUGAUUAUUUUACUUUUCUUUGUAAACGAUCUAUAAAAAUAUGAAUUUGUGUGUGUAUGUAUAUACAAAUCUAUUAACUAUUUUUGUUUUGCCGAAGUGUUAGAGGAAUAACAAUAAUAAGUGAGUACGUGUAUUAAAUGGAGUAAGGUACUGUUUGGAAAAAAUUAUUCUGGUUUUGUAAAAUAUUUAGCAAUGCCAUAAAGAAAUAGACUAACUAUGUAAGUAACAAAUAUCUUUUACUAAAAUCAUUAUAAAUAUUAAGCAUCAUUAGUCAUAGUUACAAAUUUAUUGUCCACAAAAAAAUACUCACCUUUUUCUUAAUAAUUCUACAGAAAUUAAAUUGAUGUGGACAUUAGGAAUAUGUAAUACAGUACUGAAUGUCAGUUUUUAUCAUAUAUGUGAAUUUUGAGGACUUCCUUUUUCAAGAAAGCAGUUGUUUCGCGGUCUUCAAAAUAUAUAAUUAUUUCUUCUUUCUCAAUUUGAAUGUAUAACAUAAAAUUAUUUUUGUUAUAUAAGUAAGUUUUGUGUCUAUCACUCAAUUUCUCACAUUGACUUCAAUAUUUUUAUCUGAAAAGACUUUAAUAAUUAUGUCAUCCAUUUCAGCUAAACUUCUAUUUAGCUUAACAAACUGUCAUUUCUUUCAAAUUUUUCUUUACGAAGACUUUGUUAUUAGUUUUGAGCUUGUUAAUCAUAUCCAUUAACAAUGCUUGUAUUUUUCUUUACUAUAAAGGUCGGACAGAAUAACUGGAACAAGUAGUGACCAAGAUAGCACCAAUAUCAAUAUUCAACAACAUAUCUUAUUUGUCAUAAUUUCAUAGAUUUUUGGAAAAUACGAAUGUAGUUAUAAUAAUAAUAAUAAUAAUAAUAAUAAUAAUAAAAUUAAUUUAUAUAUUGAUAUUAACAAUACAUGAUCAUACUAGACACUGUCCUAGAAAAUUAUUUUAGCUAUGUGAAAUAUUUCUCCUGAUUUAAAUAAGAUAUCAUGAGGUGAAGUUGUUUGAUUCUUACAUGUGAAGUCUAUGUGCUGAGUAUCAUCCUUUAUUAAAAUAUGUGAAGGUCUAUAACCAACUUGUCAACUGAAAUACUUUGGGAUCAAGUAACCAAUUAGGACCGAAAAUAAGCAGAUGUAAAUGCGGAAUCUAGCAAAGCAAACCUCGAAAGAUCACGAGUAAGAAGACAACGAGAAAUAUACCAAAAGACACAAAGAUUUAACGUGGUUCGGUCAAUCGACCUACAUCCACAAAGGAGAUGAGCAAUUCACUAUAAAUAUGAGAGUACAAAAUACAGAAAGAAACAACCUCAACCAAUUCACUAAGAAUACAUGGGAGGUUCACACAAGUGAUAACGUAUCAAGCUUGUGACCCAUAAAUUCUCCCUCUAACAAAAACUCUCAAAGCCCUUAAGACUACAUUGUGAAUGCUGAUUAAGUUAGAAGGAACAUGCCUCUAUUUUAUAGAGUCCUAAACCUUUUCCUACCAAAAAAAGGAUUAGUCAAUUCAAAACCUUUUCCUAAAAGGAAAACCUAUUUAUGGUAAGAAAUCGGGGCAAAUAAAACCCAACAACCAAUUCAUUUAAAACAAAUAUAUAUAAUUUUUAUGACAAAAAAAUUCAUAUUCACUAUUAUUUUGGAUGUGCAUAAGAUAAAAUCUCAAUUUAUGCUAGCUUGCAAAUAAAAUAGGAGAGAUCACUCGCAUCAGGCAAAUUUGAUAUGACGAGCUCGAUCUAAACAACUUCCUUACUUUUAAAGGUAAGAAUUCAAACUUAAAACCUCUAACACGAAAAUUCCAAGUCCAAACCAUCGAUUAUUUCAACGGAGAGUAGGCAAAUUGCUUUUCUUUUAACUUUUUUGUUUGGCUAUUUAUAUGCCAAUUACUUGGUUAUUACCAUUACUACAACAUGAGGAUAACUUGAACAUAAAAAAUUAGCAACUUGAGCACCAAGAAUACUAAUUUGGACAAGAAAAAUUGAAUCACAUGGGCAUCCAUUUGACUUCAAUUAUUUUCAGUAAGUUAAUGAAUUUAAUAUUAUAAUAUAACUAUAAUAAUAAUAAAAUUAUUUCAUAAAUUAGAUAUGUAUUUCCAAAUUGAGCUAACCAAGAAGCAACUAAAAAUUUUGCCCAAACAUUUCUUACUCAUCCCUCCCAAAAAAUGGCAUCAACAACAAACCAUGUAAAUCAACAACACGACGUUGUUGUAGUUAUAGUUCCUCUUCCUGCACAAGGCCAUCUCCACGCAGCCCUCGAACUCUCCCGCCGCCUCUCCUCCGCCAACAUCCCCGUUUACUACGUCAGCACCACCGCUCACGUCCGGCAAGCUCACUCCCGUGCUGCCGGAUGGGACCCAUUAAACACCCCAAAUCUCAAUUUCAUUGAUUUUCCUGUUACAUUCAAUGCCCCUCCUACGAACCCAGAUGCAUCCAUCAAGUUCCCUUCACAACUAGUCCCUGCUUUCAACUCUUCAAUGCAACUACGUACCCCAAUUACAGAUCUAGUAAAUAAAUUGGGUUCAAUAUCGAGGAGAGUGAUAGUUAUUCAUGAUUUUCUCACGUCUUGGGUGGUUCAAGAUGUACCCAAAAUAUCCAAUACAGAGUGUUACUGUUUACACACUGUUUCUGCUUAUCUUAUGUUUACAUAUACUUGGGAGGCUGCUAGACCACCUGUACCUCCUGAAGCUGAAGUUGUACUCAAACAACUUCCGUCUCAAGAUGGGUGUACUUCUCCUGAAGUCAUUGAAUUUGCUAUGAAGCAAAUAAAUGUACUUCAGGAUGCUGGAAAUAUUU
rnacentral:lncRNA from 1 species